rnacentral:rRNA from 1 species
UUGGCGGACGGGUGAGUAACGCGUGAGAAUCUGCCUUCAGGAUGGGGAUAACAGCCGGAAACGACUGCUAAAACCCAAUGUGCCGAGAGGUGAAAUAUUAAUAGCCUGAAGAGGAGCUCGCGUCCGAUUAGCUAGUUGGUGAGGUAACGGCCCACCAAGGCGACGAUCCGUAGCUGGUCUGAGAGGACGAUCAGCCACACUGGGACUGAGACACGGCCCAA